rnacentral:tRNA from 3 species
GGGUCCAUAGCUCAGCGGUUAGAGCAUCCGGCUCAUAACCGGCAGGUCCCUGGUUCGAAUCCAGGUGGACCCA